UACGGGGGGAGCAAGCGUUGUUCGGAUUUACUGGGCGUAAAGGGCGCGUAGGCGGCGCAACAAGUCACUUGUGAAAUCUCCGGGCUUAACCCGGAGCGGCCAAGUGAUACUGUCGUGCUAGAGUGCGGAAGGGGCUACUGGAAUUCUCGGUGUAGCGGUGAAAUGCGUAGAUAUCGGGAGGAACAUCAGUGGCGAAGGCGGCUACCUGGCCCAAUACUGACACUCAGGUGCGACAGCGUGGGGAGCAAACAGG
rnacentral:rRNA from 1 species